GAAACAGGAUCAAAUGUUAGCAGCUUCUGCGGGAAACCGCAGGAUGAAAAAGCGAGUAAAUUCAGGGAAACCCCAUGUGGGCAAUCCUGAGCCAAGCUCGUCAAUCUUCGUGACGGGAAGGUGCAGAGACUAGACACUCGCUGCCUAAAGCUGUAAUUGGCCAUGGCAAAGGUAUAGUCCGACUCUCCGAGCAAUCGGAGU
rnacentral:ncRNA from 1 species